UACGUAGGUGGCGAGCGUUAUCCGGAUUUACUGGGUGUAAAGGGAGCGUAGACGGUUAAUCAAGUCAGAAGUGAAAACCCAGGGCUCAACCUUGGGACUGCUUUUGAAACUGAGUAGCUAGAGUGCAGGAGAGGUAAGCGGAAUUCCUAGUGUAGCGGUGAAAUGCGUAGAUAUUAGGAGGAACACCAGUGGCGAAGGCGGCUUACUGGACUGUAACUGACGUUGAGGCUCGAAAGCGUGGGGAGCAAACAGG
rnacentral:rRNA from 1 species